AGUGAACGCUGGCGGUAGGCCUAACACAUGCAAGUCGAACGGCAGCACAGUAAGAGCUUGCUCUUACGGGUGGCGAGUGGCGGACGGGUGAGGAAUACAUCGGAAUCUACUUUUUCGUGGGGGAUAACGUAGGGAAACUUACGCUAAUACCGCAUACGACCUACGGGUGAAAGCAGUGGAUCUUCGGACCUUGCGCGAUUGAAUGAGCCGAUGUCGGAUUAGCUAGUUGGCGUGGUAAAGGCCCACCAAGGCGACGAUCCGUAGCUGGUCUGAGAGGAUGAUCAGCCACACUGGAACUGAGACACGGUCCAGACUCCUACGGGAGGCAGCAGUGGGGAAUAUUGGGCAAUGGGCGCAAGCCUGAUCCAGCCAUACCGCGUGGGUGAAGAAGGCCUUCGGGUUGUAAAGCCCUUUUGUUGGGAAAGAAAAGCGGCAUGUUAAUACCCCGCUGUUCUGACGGUACCCAAAGAAUAAGCACCGGCUAACUUCGUG
rnacentral:rRNA from 1 species